UACGAAGGGUGCAAGCGUUAAUCGGAAUUACUGGGCGUAAAGCGUGCGCAGGCGGUUUUGUAAGUCUGACGUGAAAUCCCCGGGCUCAACCUGGGAAUUGCGUUGGAGACUGCAAGGCUUGAAUCUGGCAGAGGGGGGUAGAAUUCCACGUGUAGCAGUGAAAUGCGUAGAGAUGUGGAGGAACACCGAUGGCGAAGGCAGCCCCCUGGGUCAAGAUUGACGCUCAUGCACGAAAGCGUGGGGAGCAAACAGG
rnacentral:rRNA from 1 species